rnacentral:lncRNA from 1 species
AUUAUUAAAAUUGUUUAUUGACUACCCUGGAACGGUUAAAUCAUAGUUUUGUUGAACGCGGUGCCAUGUCACUUCUCCACUUUAGGAGUGGAUCCCAUACUCCCAUGUAUUUGUCGCCUUCACUUUUACCCUACCUUUCUUUUUUUGCCCUAGCAUCUAUUCAGCCUCUUAAUAGUGCACGCCCUUGCGUUGCAUGGGGUAGAGUGGUCAUUUUCAUGGUGAGUCAACUAAACCAUUCUUGUGAUGGCAUUCAUAUCUAACAAGAUACGAGCGAUAAAUAGAAAACAACUAAUUUCAUAUAAGAUAUAGGGUAUAUUUGGUUGAGACAAGGAUUAUUUUUCCUUGCUAGCGAGGGUAGGGUCAGCCUUAUCUUGAUGGCUGGAGCUAGCCAGAUUGGCUCUCCCAUGACAGCAAGGUAUUUCUUGCUAGCACAAGUCUCAAAGACAAGCUAGCCUCUUAAUCAAACAGCUAUUUUUUUCCCAUUUCCUACAGCUAAGCAAGGUGAGGCAAGGAGCAAGCGAACCAAACAGGUUCAUAGCCUGAUCGAAUGAGAAAAAAAUAGGUCAUGAUUGAGAACCUCAUGUAAUAGGAUAGGCUAAACCAAAACUCCAAAAGAGAUAAAAGGAAGAGGACAAGUGUAGACUGCUAUAUAGUUUUUGACUAAAAAUACCAAUAUGAUCUAGUAAUUAUAAGUAUGUGUAGUGUAGGUAUGAAUCUAAAUUAUUGAUUGUUUUAUAAAUUAGUCCAUUAAUCCAUGCCAUAUAUGAGAGCUAAUGGUUCGUGUUUAAUAGUUAUAUGACAAUAUAUAUAGACAUAGUUUAUGGUUAUUCAAAUAUCUUUUUAAAACAGCUACGUUGAUAACUUAAAUGCAGGCUUGAGCUAUAUAUUUUUGCUAGCAGUUGUAUAUUUCAGUCAACAACUAGCAUAAGCCAUUCAGUCCAACAAAAUGAGGUAGUCGGUUAAUACUUUGAUUUUUCUAGCAAAAAACAAAUCAUCCCUUUUUUUAAGUUUUAACUUAACAGUCUAUUAAUUCUAUAUGUAUAAGGCUAUUUUUUAACUCAUCCCCUGUUACACUACAAGUACACACUAGCUGUCUAAGAAUUUUUAUAUUAGAAGACUUGUAAUGAAGUACAUAUAUCAUUGCUAAUUGUCUGCCCCAUGCAUAGAAUAACCUCUGAACCCCAAAAAGUAUACAUAUCAUUGCAAAAUUGUCUGUUGUGCAAUAUAGACAACCAAAUCUGCUUUGGUGCACGCUUCCACGCAUACACUACUCCCCCCUCCAAGCCUCACCCUUGGUGCCCAUAGCCUACUGACUGACCCUAGUGAUGAGUCAUUAUUCUCUUCGAGUAGUCUAAUGACCGUACAACACAACCAUCAUAAACGUUGUUUUUGCCCCCAUGUACAUCCAAUGGUUGAUACAUAUGGAGACAUGUGCCCUUAGGGACAAUUUUUCAGCAUCUCCAGGACAAAAAAAAAUACUGUAACAUAGCACCAAUGAGACCGAACAUGAUGGCCACAAUGUGUCUUGAGGUGAUAUUUCACUUUCAAUUUUAAUAAUAACAUAAGUGGUAAUUUUGAUAUAAAUUUAAAAUGUCACUUACAUUUGCAUAAAGAUUAUCCACACAUGCUAUUAUGAAGCGUAUAAAAAUUGCAUUAGAAAAGUGAAAUAUCACCUCAGACAUUUUAAGUUUAUAUAUAGUUAUCAUAUAUCAUGCUAUUUUAUGUUAUUUCUAGUAGAGGUGGACAUCUUUUUCUUUUUUUGAGUUUAUACAGUUUGUCUUUUUUUUUCUAGCACGUAUGGAAAUUGCUUUAGAAGGCUCCAAUAAGUAAUCUAUACCUAAUAAUAAAUUGUGAAAAAUUCAGUCCACCAUAUCUUUAUAUGUUCACUAGGCCUUUCAUCGAUGUCCGAGGUGAUAUUUCACUUUCAAUUUUAAUAAUAACAUAAGUGGUAAUUUUGAUAUAAAUUUAAAAUGUCACUUACAUUUGCAUAAAGAUUAUCCACACAUGCUAUUAUGAAGCGUAUAAAAAUUGCAUUAGAAAAGUGAAAUAUCACCUCAGACAUUUUAAGUUUAUAUAUAGUUAUCAUAUAUCAUGCUAUUUUAUGUUAUUUCUAGUAGAGGUGGACAUCUUUUUCUUUUUUUGAGUUUAUACAGUUUGUCUUUUUUUUUUCUAGCACGUAUGGAAAUUGCUUUAGAAGGCUCCAAUAAGUAAUCUAUACCUAAUAAUAAAUUGUGAAAAAUUCAGUCCACCAUAUCUUUAUAUGUUCACUAGGCCUUUCAUCGGUGUCCGUAUAAAUAUAUGACUAUAUAGGACUAUGUUCAUCUUGUUCGGAUCUGGUUUCCUAUUAUUUUUUAACUUAUUUUUUGUUUAUGGUACAAGAACUCCUGGUCCAAUAAGGAUAGGGGGGAAAAGGAAAGUUAUGUGCUAAAUCUAACUCGGAAGCCUAACACGAGUUUAAAUCAGUUUUAAAACGAAACAAGCGAAUAGCUAGACUCAACCAAAAUCCAAAACAGAGCUCGACCAAAAUUAUCUUUAUUCUUAUAAGAAAAUAUAUAGUUACUUCAAAGAAAAAAAAAUUCACGGACACUAGGGGGGAGAAGGGAGCGACUCUUUUAGACCCAAGGUACGCAACAUCUAUGAGCCGGAGAGAAAAAAUAAAGUAAAGAAGAAAAUAAAAAUAAAGAUCCAAUCCAAACUCAAGUAAUCAUGCUGAACUCGGACAGAACACUGGUGAUUGGCAAAAAUAAAUAAAUAAAAUAAAGACGAAAACAAAAAAGAUCCAAUCCAAACUCAGGCAAUCAUGGUGAACUCGGACAGAACACUGGUGAUUGGCCGCAUGAAAAAAAUUGGGUGCCAAAAAUUUUGGCUUUUUAGUAUUAGGAGGAAUAGAUUACGAAUCUAGAGUUCAGUUCCUGAUCCAAUACCUUCCUGAUCCAAUACGUUUUGGAAUCGAACUCUAUAUCAUACUAGACAAAACUAUUCUAACUUGUCAGAGUAUGAGUAUGGGCUAUAUAUACAAGUCUAGAUAUAAUAAACUCUUCAUUAUCCAGUAGCUAAAGAGAGACGGACCAAAAAACUGGAUAGACGAAAAAAAAGAACUUGAAAUUUUGCUUCUUUAUUAUUAGGUAUAGAUAGAAGAAGAAGAAGAAAAAGGAACUACAGAUUGGAACUUUUAUUUUUCUUUUGCCUCCGAUUGACAUCUAACUAAAUAAAGAAAGUGGGAGCAAAAUAAGAACAUAAUUCUUAUCCUUUUCUAUUUAACUAUUAAGAGUUCUUUUUAGAAUACUUAGGAUGUGAGGAAUCUAUUUAUAUUCUUACUCCUACUCCAUAUUAGUUUAGAUGCAAGUUAUUCUAAGUCAUACGAGCACGGGUUAUAUAUAUAAGUCUAGAUAAAAGAAACUCUCUAUCGUUCGGUAGCUAGAGGAAGACAGACAAAAAUGGAUGGACAAAAAAAA